AUUGAACGCUGGCGGCAGGCCUAACACAUGCAAGUCGAACGAGUGGCGGACGGGUGAGUAAUGUCUGGGAAACUGCCUGAUGGCGGGGGAUAACUACUGGAAACGGUAGCUAAUACCGCAUAACCUCAGCUGGGCCCAUAUGUGAUUAGCUUGGUGGUGGGGUAACGGCGCACCAAGGCGCAGAUCCCUAGCUGGUCUGAGAGGAUGACCAGCCACACUGGAACUGAGACACGGUCCAGACUCCUACGGGAGGCAGCAGUGGGGAAUAUUGCACAAUGGGCGCAAGCCUGAUGCAGCCAUGCCGCGUGUAUGAAGAAGGCCUUCGGGUUGUAAAGUACUUUCAGUGGGGAGGCGGUACCCGCAGAAGAAGCACCGGCUAACUCCGUGCCAGCAGCCGCGGUAAUUG
rnacentral:rRNA from 1 species